rnacentral:rRNA from 1 species
CCCCAAAGUAAAAUCAAUCCCCUCCUCCGUUCCACUCCACCCCAAUGGCGUCGCCGGAGCCGCCCUUCCCCGAUGCCCCUCCGCCGCCGCCCUGCCCCGACGCCCCGGCGGCUCCGCCCUGCAUCCCCGGCACCUUGCCGGCCUUGGAGGCGCAGGCGACCCUCCCGGGCCACGUCACGGAGGAGAUCCUCCUCCGCCUCCCCACGGCCGCCGACCUCGCCCGCGCGUCCAUGGCCGGCCCCGCCCUCCGCCGCAUCAUCGCCAACCACACCUUCCUCCGUCGCUUCCGCACCCUCCACCCGCCGCCUCUCCUGGGUAUACUCUCGGAUCCCUUCUUCCCAGCCCAGCCGCCCCACCCCUCCGCCGCCGCCGCCGGAACACUCGCAGGCACCGACUUCUCCUGCUCAUUCCUCCCCUCCCGCGAGCAGCGGUGGCGUCGCUGCGACUUCCGCGACGGCCGCGCCCUCCUCUGCAUCGACACCGACGGCGGUGCCAUGGUGAGGGACGUCGCCGUCUGCGACCCGCUGCACCGGCGCUACCUGCUGCUACCUCCCGUCCCCCAGGGCCUGCCCGAUCUGGUCCAUCACUUGGAUCCUUUCCUUGCUCCUGCCGGCAGAGACACUGCUGCGGGCGCUCCCUUGAGAUUCAAAGUCAUGUGCUUGGCCCAGUACCACACCCGCUUGGUCCUCCACGUCUACUCUUCAUCAGGCCCCCAUGCCGGACAAUGGCGCACCGUCACAUUUGAUGGCUGGGCCGCUCUCCUCGCAGGAGUCAGUGUCCAUGUGCGAUCCUCUGUUGCGUUCGGAAAGCGCUACUACGCGCACGGGUGCUUCUGUUGGCCGAUAUGUGCGAUCAACAAGUUGCUCUUGCUCGACACAGCUACCACCGAGUUCUCCUCCGUCGAUCUCCCGCCUGAUCUCAUGAAUCACCAGGUGGCCUUUGUGGAAGCAACCGAAGGGCGGCUUGGGAUGUUCGCUCUCAGCCAAGUUCCCACACACCUCGUGCCUCGCCUCCGGUAUUCCAUUUUGGUUUGCACCGGGGAUGACCCAGGGCGGUGGGAAAAGAAAAAGGUGGUCACAUUGUCCCAUGAUUACUGCUAUCAGAUCAUUGGUGUAGCUGGGGGGUACCUGCUCCUAUAUCUGGUUACAGACAACCCAGAUUCGUUCCCUCCGGGUAAAGUGCCGGACCCGGGCUGCUUUUCACUGAAUCUUCGCACUAUGGAUCUUGAGUGCUUCUCUCGGAAUAGAGAUAUACUGCCAUUGCUGGGCCAACUGUAUUCGGGCUUCCCGCGAUACUUGUCUCCACCAACUAUUUGAAACGGGCUUAAUCUGCUGGGUACAGGACCAAUUGACUCCAUUUGGAUUGUUCUUGACUUGAUCCAUCUCAUAUAAGGCAGUGCCAAGCCCGGUAAUUGAUGGAGUGCCUAGCAGCAGCAGCAGUGAUUAAGUUGCUUUGUUCCUCUUAUUUGGUGGACUGGAUGGAACCAUGUAUGUAUGUAUAUAUGUAUGCACAUCGUGUUAAUUCUGGCUAGCACGUGGAGAAGAAAUCUUCAUUCUUUCUCCUUUUUGCGGGAAAGGAGGCCUCUUCCUUCGCUUGCGCCUAUUGCUAUUGAUAAGAAUGCGAGGUUUAUAGACUGGACCCACAUCAGUAACGAGUUGGAGUAAUUGUUGAUUCUGAAGAAAUACAAAGCUUCUUUUUGCUAUACUGGACUAGUUGGUUUCUGAUCACAUACUAUCAUUGGAUUGCAUAUGGGACUUAUUCUGCGCCAGGCUGCUUACAUACAACUGCAAGAAAAGAUGGAUGACACACACACACACGCCCACACAUUUGCCUGUUCUCCAUGUGUCUUGUUUCAUUUAUGACCUUAUGUCUUCAAACAAUCUCUUCUUAAAUCUGUUGGAUUUGAUUAAUUAGAGAAGGUCAUGUUUGGGACUGCUCCAUCCCACCAAAAUCAGCUGUAUCAAAAUCGGUUCAUGACUCUCCAGUUGUUUGCUCCUCUAGUUGUUUGCUGGACAAGGCUGCGAUCUGGGGGCACAUCUAGGUGAAGUGAAAAAUUGUAGAUCAGAUGUUUUGUUUUGAGUAAUAUAUAGUAACCCCGUAUGCUGAUGUUUUCC